AAAAUAAAAAUUAAUAAUAAAAAAUAUAAUAAAAGUAAUUUUAAUAUUAAAAUAAAUAAUGGGGGUUAAAGUAUUUUAAUAGAAAAAAUUAUAAAAUUUAUAGUGAAUUAGUAUAGUAAAAGAAAUUUGAAAUAAAUGAAAUAAUAAUUUUUUAAAAAGUAAAUUUUAAUUAUUGUAUCUUGUGUAUCAGAGUUUAUUAAAUAAAUUUUUUGGAUAAUAAUAUCUCGAAUUUAAAAGAGUUAAUUAAUUAAUAAAGUUAAUGUAAAAUAAUUAUUUUAAAUAAUUAAUUUGAAAUGAAAUGUUAAUCGUUUUUAAAUAUAUCUAGUUAUUUUAGAAAAAAGUUUAAUUUUAAAUUUAUUGAUUUUAAAAUAUUAAUUUAUUAAUAUGAAAAAAAAUAAAUUUUAUAAUUUAAGGGAUAAGCUUUAAAUUAAAUAAUUAUAAUAAAAUUAAUAAGAAAUAAAAUUUUUAAAAUUUAUAUUGUUUAAAAAUUAUAAUUUAUUAUAAAAAAUUUUAAUAAAAAUAAAAUUUAAAUUAAAUUUAAUUUUUUAUAAAAAUAUAUUUUUAUAAUUAAAUAAAAUUAGAAAAAAUGAUAAAAUUAGUAUAUAAAUUAUAAUAAAAAUAAAAAUAAAUAAUAAAUAAUUAAAAGGAAUUCGGCAAAAUUUAUAUUCACCUGUUUAACAAAAACAUGUCUUUUUGAUAAAUAAUUUAAAGUCUAAUCUGCCCACUGAUUUUAUAUUAAAGGGCUGCAGUAUUUUGACUGUACAAAGGUAGCAUAAUCAUUAGUCUUUUAAUUGGAGACUUGUAUGAAAGAUUUGAUGAAAUAUAAACUGUCUCUUAAUUAUUUAUAGAACUUAAUUUUUUAGUUAAAAAGCUAAAAUUUAAUUAAAAGACGAGAAGACCCUAUAGAGUUUUAUAGUUAUUUAUUUUAUAUAUUUAUAUAAAAUUUUAAUAUUUAAAAUAAAUAAUUAUUAUAUUGGGGUGAUAAAAAAAUCAAUAAAACUUUUUUUAAAAAUAAACAAAAAUAAUUGAAUAAAUGAUCCAUAAAUAAUGAUUAAAAGAAAAAAUUACCUUAGGGAUAACAGCGUAAUAUUUUUUUUUAGUACAAAUAAAAAAAAAAGUUUGCGACCUCGAUGUUGGAUUAAGAUAAAAUUUAAAUGCAAAAGUUUAAAAUUUUGAUCUGUUCGAUCAUUAAAAUCUUACAUGAUCUGAGUUCAAACCGGUGUAAGCCAGGUUGGUUUCUAUCUUUAGAAAAAUGAAAUAUUUUA
rnacentral:rRNA from 1 species